rnacentral:rRNA from 1 species
AUUGAACGCUGGCGGCAUGCUUUACACAUGCAAGUCGAACGGUAACAGGGAGCUUGCUCCGCUGACGAGUGGCGAACGGGUGAGUAAUGCGUCGGAACGUGCCGAGUAGUGGGGGAUAACGCAUCGAAAGGUGUGCUAAUACCGCAUACGUACUGAGGUAGAAAGUGGGGGACCUUCGGGCCUCACGCUAUUCGAGCGGCCGACGUCUGAUUAGCGAGUUGGUGAGGUAAAGGCUCACCAAGGCGACGAUCAGGAGCGGGUCUGAGAGGAUGAUCCGCCACACUGGGACUGAGACACGGCCCAGACUCCUACGGGAGGCAGCAGUGGGGAAUUUUGGACAAUGGGCGCAAGCCUGAUCCAGCCAUGCCGCGUGUCUGAAGAAGGCCUUCGGGUUGUAAAGGACUUUUGCCCGGGAGCAAAUGCCUGGUGUUAAUAGCACUGGGAGCUGAGAGUACCGGAAGAAUAAGCACCGGCUAACUACGUGCCAGCCGCCGCCGUAA